rnacentral:rRNA from 1 species
UACGAAGGGGGCUAGCGUUGCUCGGAAUUACUGGGCGUAAAGCGCACGUAGGCGGUCUUUUAAGUCGGGGGGUGAAAUCCUGGAGCUCAACUCCAGAACUGCCUUCGAUACUGAAAGACUUGAGUCCGGGAGAGGUGGAGUGGAACUGCGAGUGUAGAGGUGAAAUUCGUAGAUAUUCGCAAGAACACCAGUGGCGAAGG